CGUCGAAACUGUCGGAUGGAUAUUCUCGUUAACCUUAAAGGGGAAUUUACAGCAUCUGUCAUAGAUUGUGCAAGUGCUUGGUGUAUAGAUUAUUGCAGUGGUUUUCUCUUGAGCUUGCCCUGUGUGGUUCUUUUUUGGUUUAUUUUAUUAACGCUGCUACUACGUAAACAGUCCAGUGAUAUAGUUCCCCCCUGCGUUUUUAGGUUCACUGUUCUUAUGGCGUCGCGCUGUUUGAAACCGAGGUUAGGGUUCUUCCACGAUUAAACCAGUUUAUGACAAUAAAAAACAAGAAGCUGAAAUAUUGUAGGUGUUGUAUAAAGUGACACAACAAGGUCAAAGCACUUCUCGUCUUCCCCUCUUCUGUUUGAUUCCACAUUCCUUUCCGCAAUAAAACAAGCACUGGUCGUACUGCUUAGUCACUAAGCCUUAGUGGUAGACUCUUCACUGUAUUUAAGUUUGUAAAUGCGCCGAAGAUAGAUUCGAAAUCGUCGUCCCAUUUAUACCACAUCUCGAGUAUACGUGUGACGUCAGUAUAUGAGUGUUGGCGUGACGGCAAGAUGCAGACAACGGAAGAAUUGGCCCCAGUGACUCUUGGGUUAGCCUAUUGCGUACAUCCACUCGCAUCUUUUUAAAGCCCGUGAGUAGGGGAGACCGGUGGCCUGUACUGCGAAGCGGAGUUACUGGCUUAUCGGGGUAACGUCGGAUUUAAGGUACCACAGUUUAAAUUGACUUAAUAUUCGUUCACUUAAAUUUUGCGCAGACUCCCUUAAAUCCAACAAGUUACCCCGAUAAGCCAGUAACCCCGCUUCGUAGUACAGGCGCUGGCGAUGAUUGUAACAUGGGUUAGUUGUGACAAAGUCUAUUUCUCAAAUCUUGAACGAGUUACAGAUCACGUAAGUCACUCGGCACAUGUCCAGUUUAGUGUUUAUUUUACAUGUGAAGAAGGAGCAGCCCUGAAACAAACACACUGAGAUUUGUAAGGAAAAUAAUUUGAGGUAAGAAAGUAUUUUUUUGGCUUCAAUUAUUUUUGCGAUAGCACUGCAAGCUUUGUACUUGCAUCAUUCAAACUUAAAUAAUUUUUAAUGAUUUUUAUGAUGCAAAUAUCUUUUAUACAAGUUGUGAGUGCUAAUAUUGUUGCGCUUAGCUGCAAGGUGAACUUGUUCACAGCCACUUCUCGAGCCCAGUUAACUAAUGCAUUGUGCGUUUGGAUUGGGUGAAAUGCACAGACCAGGAGUGGGGAACCUGAUCCAUGGAGAGCUGGUGCAGGUUUUUGGGAUGACCCCUCAAUCAGCCUAUAACAGUCCCCAGGACUGGAGCUGGGAAUCACUGUUUUAUUAUUGGCUGAUUCUGGAUCAGGUCCCCCAUCCCUGGCAUUAACUGUCCAUUAACAGCCCAUUAAGCUGGUACACUAGGAGGAGUUCAAUACACCUGUCACCACUGUGAUUCUGAUCGUGACUAACACUGCGCACACACACAUGCAAACAUCCAUACAUCCAUUUUCCAAACCGCUUAUCCUACUGGGUCGCGGGGGGUCCGGAGCCUAUCCCGGAAGCAAUGGGCACGAGGCAGGGAACAACCCAGGAUGGGGGGCCAGCCCAUCACAGGGCACACUCACACACCAUUCACUCACACAUGCACACCUAUGGGCAAUUUAGUAACUCCAAUUAGCUUCAGCACGUCUUUGGACUGCGGGGGGAAACCGGAGUACCCGGAAGAAACCCCACGACGACAUGGGGAGAAUAUGCAAACUCCACACACAUGUGACCCAGGCGGAGACUCGAACCUGGGACCCAGAAGGGUAAGGCAGCAAUGCUAACCACUGCACCACCAUGCCGCCCUCCACAUGCAAACAUGCACACUAUUAUUCAGUUAUUAAAACUGGUGCACAGUUGCAGAUUUUGUUUGGUUUUACUGUGAUCUUUGAUUUUAGUUGUGAUUAACAUACAUUAUGCAUCUAUGCAUACAUGCAUACGUACCCCCAAAUUUUGUUGAAUAAUAAAACCCACGUCAUUUAUAAUGUUACAACUAUCACUGACUAUGGGAAGAAUUGCAACAUUUCACUCCAUGUGUUUCAGGCUAAACCAUUCAUUGUCUGUCUGCGAUACAGAGAUUAAACCUGUGCUGUUUACUAGAAGACACGUGUAGGUAGUUUCUUUCAAAAUUUGAAUGUGAUUCCUAAAAGAACUCAGAGCUUCGGGCAAAAUGUAAAAAAAAACAUCCCUGGUCUGCCCUACAUAUGGACAAUUGCUGCUUCUUACAUUAGAGUUUUUGACAGUGAAUACCAGUGUUUACUUAAGAUUGAUAUUAGGGCUAGACAAGCAGUCAUAUAAAAUGUGGAUUGACUUACGGACAUUUGACUUGACUCUUCUUACUGAUAAAUUAAAAUUCCAUUAAAAAUUUACAAGUGGUUGGCAACCCUGAUAGCUGUGUUUGCACAUUGUAGCCACCAGCCACUUUGUGGUACCUGCAGCUGGUGGUUGGCCUAUAACAGUUGAAGUUGGCACAAGUCAUUGGGUUCUGACAACCUCAGCCUGUUUCUCAGAAUCCCUCUGCAGCUGGUGUGACAGUGAUAUUAGUUAUGAUUUAAAGAAGAAAUACACGCUGACCAUCACCAUCUUUCCAUCCCAGCAAUGCCUUAAUUUGGUAGGUUCUAGGUAUGUGUAAUUUUCAGAGUAAACUGAAUAUUUCCCUUAAUAUUACACAUUUCAUCUAGACUAACUAAGCCAAACAAUUCUAAUGGAAUAUGUAAAGCAUCCCUGUUUGUCAAGAAAAUAGUGGUGGUAACAGAAAUGCUCAUAUUAAUGCAUGUGCUUGUUUGCUGUAAUAUCUCUCAGGUCAUUGUGUACUUGACCCCAGAAUUUGGGCAUUAAAAUGAUCAGAUUCAGGGUUGUGAGGUGGUGUCCCUUUUGACAGCUCAUACCAGGGGUAAUGGGGGUGCAGGUUCCACCAGCCAUGCUAUCAUCUUCCUUUUGCUUCGCACUUUUCACAUGUCUAGUGUCAUCCCUUAUCCCUUGAACCACAACCCAGAGACCUACAGCUGGACAGCACUUCUUGUACUGCAGGGGUGUCCAAUCUUAUCUGCAAAGGGCCAGUGUGCAUGCAGGUUUUUGGGAUAACCUUUAAGUCAGCUGUUCAAACCCAGAUGUGAGGACUCUUCAGCCAAUCAGUCCUCUCUAAUUAGUAAUCUAAUUAGGGAAUUGCAGUGAAAAUCUGCAUGCACAAUGGCCCUUUCUGGAUAAGAUUGGCUGAAUAAUGUGUUGUCCUCUGGUCCAAUGGGCACCAAGUGGUACCUUGUGGGGACUUGACUUCAGAUAUCCCACCUUAGGGAUAUUGAUUUCAGGCAGGUAGAUGAGGGGUAUUCAGGAGGGCAGGGAUGCUGGCUAAUUUUUGGAUGCUAUUGUGAUAAUACCGUAUAUACAUUGACUGGGGUGGGAUUUUACCAUCACUGAAUAGUGGAACGACAGAUUUCCGGGAUGUUGCGUAUCAUUUAUGGGUGUGAGGAGGCUACUGUCAAUUUGCUUGGGACUUCAUUUCCCAUUUCCCCCAUUUCCCAGCACUGUCAUAACAAAAAUGUCAGGUGAUUGCCAUGCCCAACAUUCCCAACAUGUCUCAGGUAAUGCACUGAUCCAUGCUACCCACGUUUCUUCUUCUCAAAAUCCACAAGCGCCCCCUGCUGGAGGGGAGGCCCCUGAUCCAGUACUUCCCAAGGACCAUGAAAAACCCAGAAAUGGAGGUGGGGAGUAUUACCACACGGGUAUAACAGGGAGCAGCAGGUCCUUGUGGAUCAGAAGACUGCAGAGCAGUGUAUGCUAGGAUGCUAGCACCAGCUAUAUUGUUAGAGAUAUUAAGUGUUUUGUCCUUUCUUAGAACUACAUGGUGAUGUAAUAUUAAAUGGCAUUUUAGUUUGUGGUAUAUUUAGAAUGUUCUACAAAAUCUUUUUGGUAUUUUCAUAUAAAUGUUUAAAACAGAAGAUCUUUCCAUUGUUUAAAUAUAACCUAGGAAAAGUCGAUCUUUAUUAUUUUGUAUAAUGUAUGCCUUAUUUUGCUUAACAUUGGUGUUGUGAUACAGCACAGCAUGACAUUUUACAGUGAAUUCGGGGCCCCACUGAAUGACCUGGUAGCUAAUCAUAAUCCCCUUUUUCUGGUUCAGAAGUUGAAUGGACCCUAUGACUCUUUCUUGGAAUUCUCUGUCCAUGAUGUCUAUGAUCCAUUGUGCUCUGAAAGCAUGUAAGCCACAGUCCAUACGGAGUUGCUAGCACCCCAGGUCAGGUCUGAAGUCACCUCUUUCGGCUUUGAUGCACCAUACACGGUGCAAAAUAUACAUCCAAGACUAACGCAUCAGCUAAUGAUCUCUGCUCCACCCACUAGUCAUGGAAGGUUCAUUGUGACUUGAAUUCUGAUUCUAAUUAUUGAACCUGUACAUGAGGCUAGUAUGUGUUGCUUUUCCCCCAGCUUAACUAAGAGUGUCGUGCCCACUGGCCUACUGUGGUUACCAGGGAAACUGAGCUACUACCCGGCGUUACAUCAGCAACAAGCAGAUUGUCAAGCACAGUCGCCAUGGGGGUUGAAGUCUCUGGCUCUGUGUGUGGAGUUUGCACAUCGUGGGGGUUCCUCCGGGUUCUCUGGUUGCCCCCCCCCCCCCCCACAGUCCAAAAACACGCUAAGGUGAAUCAGAGUUGUCAGGUUGCAUGUAGGUGUGCAUGGUUUGUGUGCCCUGUGAUGGGUUGGUGUCCCAUCCUAGGUUAUUUCCUGCCUUGUGCCCAUAGUUUGUGGACCCCGCAACCCUGCAUAAGAUGGAUUUUUGAAUGCAAUUUUUACACUGUGGUCUGUGAUGGAUUGGAAUCCUGUCUUUACCCAACCCCCCCCAUCCCAUGACUAACAAAGUGAUCAUACCACUGGUGGGCCUUUAAGCCAAGUUGCUCCGGAGAGGCUAGUUGAAUUGGUUCUCAGAUCCUCAUUUAUUGUUAUGAGCAAAAGCAUCUCAUGAAUAAAUGUUGUACUUGCCUUGAAUUGUGUAUGUAAGUAUAUACUAUGUACCUCUGGAUAAGCAUCAGCACAUUUUCUGUUAUUCUUCUUUCUGUCACGAUCGGGAGCUGGUGUGUGAGUAUUUAGGCUCUGUCAGUGAAGUUGUUCAUACUUGGCCAGUCAACGGGAAGUAAGUAACGUAAGUACUGAUCACGGUUGUUACCUUGACUUAACAGCAACGCAAUGUUUCUACCCCAAAGUUAAUAUUCAUGUUUAUUAUUGAUAUCGGUGGAGUUUGAGGCUAAGGUGCAGUCUCAGGAGUAACACUAGAAUAUGCGCUUGUUGGUGUGUGUUGAAACGGAUUGGAUUUAGUGUGUUGGCUUGCGAGAGAUAGUACUUUUCUCUCAGGAAGUGUGUUUGGAAACGCUAAUAAGAAUCUGGUGAUGUGUGUUACCAAAAUACAUGUAAUGGCACAUAUGUGAUGUGCCCUUACAAACACCCACCCAGAAGUCAUUUGAAUAAGACAAGUUUCUUUUGGGGUAUCUGACUCGUCUGUGGCUUUCUGUUUGUUGCAUUAUGGGUGUAAAAGGUGUUUCAGAAAAGAUCCAUUAUGAUCUAUCUCCACACCAUGAAAACCAUGAUUUUAUAUGUGCCUGCUUCCUUUUCCUGUUGACCCGGGUUCUUUCCUGUGCAGGAUGAGGUGUGAAGCCACCCUGGAAAUCCAGAUGGAAUGAGUGUCAUCAUGCUGCUUUGCUCUGAACACCACAUUAAUGCUGUUGGGCCCAAAACUGGGCCUUUUACAUAUGCCGAUAUGUCCUCCUCAGUGGUGUUGCAGUCUGUCCCUUUGUUAUUGGUUACUUAUAUGUUAAUAAAGUUUGACAUGAUUGAAA